ACUCAAAGGAAUUGACGGGGGCCCGCACAAGCGGCGGAGCAUGUGGAUUAAUUCGAUGCAACGCGAAGAACCUUACCUGGGUUUGACAUGCACAGGAAACGGCCAGAGAUGGUCGCCCCGUAAGGUCUGUGUGCAGGUGGUGCAUGGCUGUCGUCAGCUCGUGUCGUGAGAUGUUGGGUUAAGUCCCGCAACGAGCGCAACCCUCGUUCCAUGUUGCCAGCGCGUUAUGGCGGGGACUCAUGGGAGACUGCCGGGGUCAACUCGGAGGAAGGUGGGGAUGAGGUCAAGUCAUCAUGCCCCUUAUGUCCAGGGCUUCACACAUGCUACAAUGGCCGGUACAGAGGGCUGCGAAGCCGUGAGGUGGAGCGAAUCUCGUAAAGCCGGUCUCAGUUCGGAUCGGGGUCUGCAACUCGACCCCGUGAAGUCGGAGUCGCUAGUAAUCGCAGAUCAGCAACGCUGCGGUGAAUACGUUCCCGGGCCUUGUACACACCGCCCGU
rnacentral:rRNA from 1 species